AAUGAAUUCGGUUGUGAUUCGGCCUGACUUGAUGAAGUCGAAUGUGAUACAGCCUGAUUUGAGGAAAUAGACUGUGAUGCAGCCUGAGUUGACUGAACCGGCUGUGAUGUAGCCUGAACUGAGGAAGUCAUCUGUUUUUUGGCCUGAACUGAUGAAAUCGAUUGUGAUGUGGUUGGUUGUGCAUUGGGCUGAACUGACAAUGUAGGUUGUGUUUGAACUGAGUUUUG
rnacentral:misc_RNA from 1 species